CCCUUAGAUUGUCUGGGCGGCACGCGCGCUACAAUGAUGCAUUCAAAAAGUCUUCUGACCUUAGAAGGUUGGGUAUUCUCCAAAGUGCGUCGUGAUGGGAAUAGUUUAUUGCAAUUUUUAAUCUUGAACGAGGAAUUCCUAGUAAGUACAGGUCAUCAACUUGUGUUGAUUACGUCCCUGCCCUUUGUACACACCGCCCGUCGCUCCUACUGAUUGAGUGUCUCGGUGAAUUCGUUGAUCUUCUGUCGAUUCAGUUCACUGAUCCGACGGUGGAAAGUUGAAUGAACUUCGUCACUUAGAGGAAGGAGAAGUCGUAACA
rnacentral:rRNA from 1 species